rnacentral:rRNA from 1 species
UUAAGCGACUAAGCGUACACGGUGGAUGCCCUGGCAGUCAGAGGCGAUGAAGGACGUGCUAAUCUGCGAAAAGCGUCGGUAAGGUGAUAUGAACCGUUAUAACCGGCGAUGUCCGAAUGGGGAAACCCAGUGCAAUUCGUUGCACUAUCGUUAACUGAAUACAUAGGUUAACGAGGCGAACCGGGGGAACUGAAACAUCUAAGUACCCCGAGGAAAAGAAAUCAACCGAGAUUCCCCCAGUAGCGGCGAGCGAACGGGGAGCAGCCCAGAGUCUGAAUCAGCUUGUGUGUUAGUGGAACGGUCUGGAAAGUCCGACGGUACAGGGUGAUAGUCCCGUACACCAAAAUGCACAGGCUGUGAACUCGAAGAGUAGGGCGGGACACGUGGUAUCCUGUCUGAAUAUGGGGGGACCAUCCUCCAAGGCUAAAUACUCCUGACUGACCGAUAGUGAACCAGUACCGUGAGGGAAAGGCGAAAAGAACCCCGGCGAGGGGAGUGAAAAAGAACCUGAAACCGUGUACGUACAAGCAGUGGGAGCACCUUUAUGGUGUGACUGCGUACCUUUUGUAUAAUGGGUCAGCGACUUAUAUUCUGUAGCAAGGUUAACCGUAUAGGGGAGCCGCAGGGAAACCGAGUCUUAACUGGGCGUUAAGUUGCAGGGUAUAGACCCGAAACCCGGUGAUCUAGCCAUGGGCAGGUUGAAGGUUGGGUAACACUAACUGGAGGACCGAACCGACUAAUGUUGAAAAAUUAGCGGAUGACUUGUGGCUGGGGGUGAAAGGCCAAUCAAACCGGGAGAUAGCUGGUUCUCCCCGAAAGCUAUUUAGGUAGCGCCUCGUGAACUCAUCUUCGGGGGUAGAGCACUGUUUCGGCUAGGGGGUCAUCCCGACUUACCAACCCGAUGCAAACUACGAAUACCGAAGAAUGUUAUCACGGGAGACACACGGCGGGUGCUAACGUCCGUCGUGAAGAGGGAAACAACCCAGACCGCCAGCUAAGGUCCCAAAGUCAUGGUUAAGUGGGAAACGAUGUGGGAAGGCACAGACAGCCAGGAUGUUGGCUUAGAAGCAGCCAUCAUUUAAAGAAAGCGUAAUAGCUCACUGGUCGAGUCGGCCUGCGCGGAAGAUGUAACGGGGCUAAACCAUGCACCGAAGCUGCGGCAGCGACACUAUGUGUUGUUGGGUAGGGGAGCGUUCUGUAAGCCUGCGAAGGUGGCCUGUGAGGGUUGCUGGAGGUAUCAGAAGUGCGAAUGCUGACAUAAGUAACGAUAAAGCGGGUGAAAAGCCCGCUCGCCGGAAGACCAAGGGUUCCUGUCCAACGUUAAUCGGGGCAGGGUGAGUCGACCCCUAAGGCGAGGCCGAAAGGCGUAGUCGAUGGGAAACAGGUUAAUAUUCCUGUACUUGGUGUUACUGCGAAGGGGGGACGGAGAAGGCUAUGUUAGCCGGGCGACGGUUGUCCCGGUUUAAGCAUGUAGGCUGGUUAUCCAGGCAAAUCCGGAUAAUCAAGGCUGAGGUGUGAUGACGAGGCACUACGGUGCUGAAGUAACAAAUGCCCUGCUUCCAGGAAAAGCCUCUAAGCAUCAGGUAACAUCAAAUCGUACCCCAAACCGACACAGGUGGUCAGGUAGAGAAUACCAAGGCGCUUGAGAGAACUCGGGUGAAGGAACUAGGCAAAAUGGUGCCGUAACUUCGGGAGAAGGCACGCUGGUGUGUAGGUGAAGUCCCUGCGGAUGGAGCUGAGACCAGUCGAAGAUACCAGCUGGCUGCAACUGUUUAUUAAAAACACAGCACUGUGCAAACACGAAAGUGGACGUAUACGGUGUGACGCCUGCCCGGUGCCGGAAGGUUAAUUGAUGGGGUUAUCCGUAAGGAGAAGCUCUUGAUCGAAGCCCCGGUAAACGGCGGCCGUAACUAUAACGGUCCUAAGGUAGCGAAAUUCCUUGUCGGGUAAGUUCCGACCUGCACGAAUGGCGUAAUGAUGGCCAGGCUGUCUCCACCCGAGACUCAGUGAAAUUGAACUCGCUGUGAAGAUGCAGUGUACCCGCGGCAAGACGGAAAGACCCCGUGAACCUUUACUAUAGCUUGACACUGAACAUUGAGCCUUGAUGUGUAGGAUAGGUGGGAGGCUUUGAAGCGUGGACGCCAGUCUGCGUGGAGCCAACCUUGAAAUACCACCCUUUAAUGUUUGAUGUUCUAACGUUGGCCCCUUAUCGGGGUUGCGGACAGUGUCUGGUGGGUAGUUUGACUGGGGCGGUCUCCUCCCAAAGCGUAACGGAGGAGCACGAAGGUUAGCUAAUCCUGGUCGGACAUCAGGAGGUUAGUGCAAUGGCAUAAGCUAGCUUGACUGCGAGCGUGACGGCGCGAGCAGGUGCGAAAGCAGGUCAUAGUGAUCCGGUGGUUCUGAAUGGAAGGGCCAUCGCUCAACGGAUAAAAGGUACUCCGGGGAUAACAGGCUGAUACCGCCCAAGAGUUCAUAUCGACGGCGGUGUUUGGCACCUCGAUGUCGGCUCAUCACAUCCUGGGGCUGAAGUAGGUCCCAAGGGUAUGGCUGUUCGCCAUUUAAAGUGGUACGCGAGCUGGGUUUAGAACGUCGUGAGACAGUUCGGUCCCUAUCUGCCGUGGGCGCUGGAGAAUUGAGGGGGGCUGCUCCUAGUACGAGAGGACCGGAGUGGACGCAUCACUGGUGUUCGGGUUGUCAUGCCAAUGGCACUGCCCGGUAGCUAAAUGCGGAAGAGAUAAGUGCUGAAAGCAUCUAAGCACGAAACUUGCCCCGAGAUGAGUUCUCCCUGAGACUUUAAGUCUCCUGAAGGAACGUU